rnacentral:rRNA from 1 species
UGAGGAAUAUUGGACAAUGGAGGCAACUCUGAUCCAGCCAUGCCGCGUGAAGGACUAAGGCCCUAUGGGUCGUAAACUUCUUUUGACGCAGAGCAAUAAGGACUACGUGUAGUCUGAUGAGAGUAUGCGUCGAAUAAGCAUCGGCUAACUCCGUGCCAGCAGCCGCGGUAAUACGGAGGAUGCAAGCGUUAUCCGGAUUUAUUGGGUUUAAAGGGUGCGUAGGCUGUUUGUCAAGUCAGAGGUGAAAGGCCGCAGCUCAACUGUGGAAUUGCCUUUGAUACUGGCAGGCUUGAAUACUGUUGCCGUGGGAGGAAUGAGUAGUGUAGCGGUGAAAUGCAUAGAUAUUACUCAGAACACCGAUUGCGAAGGCAUCUCACGAAGCAGACAUUGAUGCUGAGGCACGAAAGCGUGGGGAUC